GAUGAACGCUGGCGGCGUGCCUAAUACAUGCAAGUCGAGCGAACGGACGAGAAGCUUGCUUCUCUGAUGUUAGCGGCGGACGGGUGAGUAACACGUGGAUACCCUCCCUAUAAGACUGGGAUAACUUCGGGAAACCGGAGCUAAUACCGGAUAAUAUUUUGAACCGCAUGGUUCAAAAGUGAAAGACGGUCUUGCUGUAACUUAUAGAUGGAUCCGCGCUGCAUUAGCUAGUUGGUAAGGUAACGGCUUACCAAGGCAACGAUGCAUAGCCGACCUGAGAGGGUGAUCGGCCACACUGGAACUGAGACACGGUCCAGACUCCUACGGGAGGCAGCAGUAGGGAAUCUUCCGCAAUGGGCGAAAGCCUGACGGAGCAACGCCGCGUGAGUGAUGAAGGUCUUCGGAUCGUAAAACUCUGUUAUUAGGGAAGAACAUAUGUGUAAGUAACUGUGCACAUCUUGACGGUACCUAAUCAGAAAGCCACGGCUAACUACGUG
rnacentral:rRNA from 1 species